rnacentral:rRNA from 1 species
AACGAACGCUGGCGGCAGGCUUAACACAUGCAAGUCGAACGCCCCGCAAGGGGAGUGGCAGACGGGUGAGUAACGCGUGGGAAUCUACCUAGUUCUACGGAACAACAGAGGGAAACUUGAGCUAAUACCGCAUGUGUCCUUCGGGAGAAAGAUUUAUCGCCAUGGGAUGGGCCCGCGUCGGAUUAGCUAGUUAGUGGGGUAACGGCCUACCAAGGCGACGAUCCGUAGCUGGUCUGAGAGGAUGAUCAGCCACACUGGGACUGAGACACGGCCCAGACUCCUACGGGAGGCAGCAGUGGGGAAUAUUGGACAAUGGGCGCAAGCCUGAUCCAGCCAUGCCGCGUGAGUGAUGAAGGCCUUAGGGUUGUAAAGCUCUUUCGCCGGUGAAGAUAAUGACGGUAACCGGAGAAGAAGCCCCGGCUAACUUCGUGCCAGCAGCCGCGGUAACAC